GGCAGUCAGAGGCGAUGAAAGACGUGAUAGCCUGCGAAAAGCUCCGGGGAGGCGGCAAAUAUCCUGUGAUCCGGAGAUGUCUGAAUGGGGAAACCCACUUACCAUAAGGUAGGUAUUGCAACAUGAAUACAUAGUGUUGCAAGGCGAACGAGGGGAAGUGAAACAUCUCAGUACCCUUAGGAAAAGAAAUCAAUUGAGAUUCCCUCAGUAGCGGCGAGCGAAAGGGGAAGAGCCCAUUAAGUCAUAUAAGUUCUAGUGGAACGCUCUGGGAAGUGCGACCGUAGACGGUGAUAGUCCUGUACACGAAAGGGCUUAUAUGAUGAUGUCGAGUAGGGCGAGGCACGUGAAACCUUGUCUGAAUAUGGGGGGACCAUCCUCCAAGGCUAAAUACUCCUGACUGACCGAUAGUGAACCAGUACCGUGAGGGAAAGGCGAAAAGAACCCCUGUGAGGGGAGUGAAAUAGAUCCUGAAACCGCAUGCAUACAAGCAGUGGGAGCCGGCUUAGUCCGGUGACUGCGUACCUUUUGUAUAAUGGGUCAGCGACUUAUAUUCAGUAGCGAGGUUAACCGAAUAGGGGAGCCGUAGGGAAACCGAGUCUUAAUAGGGCGUUUAGUUGCUGGGUAUAGACCCGAAACCAGGUGAUCUAUCCAUGAGCAGGUUGAAGGUUGGGUAACACUAACUGGAGGACCGAACCGACUACCGUUGAAAAGUUAGCGGAUGACCUGUGGAUCGGAGUGAAAGGCUAAUCAAGCUCGGAGAUAGCUGGUUCUCCUCGAAAGCUAUUUAGGUAGCGCCUCAUGUAUCACUGUAGGGGGUAGAGCACUGUUUCGGCUAGG
rnacentral:ncRNA from 1 species